AGACAGUAUGGCUGGCAGCAUUUAACAAGCAGCUUCCAGCCACUUCCCAGUGGAAUUUGUUUUUCAGAGAGAAAUCUUGAAGAAACCUUCUUUCCUGAAGCAAUUCUCUGCUAAUUCCAUUUUGGUUUUGAGUUGUAUCAGGACAGCAAUGGCUUCUGCUGUUAUCAAGAGCAUACAGGAAAUCCCUCAACAAGAAAUACAUGGACUUUAAGAACUAAAAGAUGAAACAUGUCAUAGAUGCAAAAAUGCCCCGUACAGAAACAAACCCACAUGGCAGGAUUGUCAUCAUCUAUGCCACAAGAAUGCUCUACCAUGGAUUAGUAACAAAGAUUGCAGAAAGAAGCCUGCUGCACAGAGAACCGUUACUAGGUCAGCCAAAACAACCAGACUGUUGCCAUGCAAGCAUAAAAACACUGAAGUAGAAGUUGUCAAAGAAUUGUCCCCCUGGGUUCCUUUGCUCUCAGCACCCCAAGCAGGUUCUUUGCUUCCAAGAACAGUCCCAACUCCUUUGGGUCUCUGCUUCCCAGGCAAAUCCUUCUCCCUUUCAGACCCAAACUCCCGGUAGUUCUGCCACCAUCCCUCUUCCUGGUUACUUUCUCUGAGAGGGGAUCUCGGAGACCUAUGUGAGUCCUAAGAGUAUUAACCCACAUUAAUCAACAGUAAUCAGUAGCAUCCAGCGGUCAAAUACUAGAUUUAGAAUCAUUAGUUUCAAGCCAACACACACCAUCUAUAAAAGAGUAGUUUAUUUAAAAGAAAUAGAACGGUAUAUUCAAAAGAGAGCAGCAAUUGUUUCCUUAAAGCUAAUCACCCUCAGCCGGGCUACACGAGGUACAUUGGUAACAAAGGUGAGAGGUUCAAUACAGACAAAGAAUAUAACAAAGAUCUAGCUAAACUAAGGUCCUAUACUUACAGUAGAAUAGCCUGGUUUCCCAAUGGCUUUUCUUUUCUAUAAAACUUCAAGCGAGUCGAGUAGAUGGAAAUAGGGAACAAAGACUGAAGGAGCAUCCUUCAUUUUUAUGGAGUUUAUCAGUCGACAAGGAGGGGGGAGGCAAAUAGCCAUAUUCCGCCCCUGCCGUGAUCCACUUCUUUGAAGCCUUUGAAGAUAAGGGGCUAGAAAGCCUCACCCAGGGGUCCUGAUCUACAACACCCCCUCUUCCUGACUUUUGAUCUCAGGAAGCUGAUAAGGGAUAACAGCUAAGGUUCAGUUGCAUCUUCUUGCAAGGUUGCAAAUUGUCUGUCUGACACUAAGCCGCGGAUCUCAGUAGGGUGUCCUAUGGAACCACAGACUCCCAGAAUUCUCUCUGGUUGACCCAUUUCAGCUUGACCAAAGUUAGCUAUUCUUGACAGAAGUAAGACUGGAUUUCUCAAAGGAUAUCAUACACCAUGUCCAUAAUGAUAAACCCACCACCUCUACAAAUAUUUGCCAGGCUGCUAGUCCUGUUGGUUUUGAG